GAUGAACGCUGGCGGCGUGCCUAAUACAUGCAAGUCGAGCGAACAGACGAGGAGCUUGCUCCUCUGACGUUAGCGGCGGACGGGUGAGUAACACGUGGAUAACCUACCUAUAAGACUGGGAUAACUUCGGGAAACCGGAGCUAAUACCGGAUAAUAUAUUGAACCGCAUGGUUCAAUAGUGAAAGACGGCUUUGCUGUCACGUAUAGAUGGAUCCGCGCCGCAUUAGCUAGUUGGUAAGGUAACGGCUUACCAAGGCAACGAUGCGUAGCCGACCUGAGAGGGUGAUCGGCCACACUGGAACUGAGACACGCUCCAGACUCCUACGGGAGGCAGCAGUAGGGAAUCUUCCGCAAUGGGCGAAAGCCUGACGGAGCAACGCCGCGUGAGUGAUGAAGGUCUUCGGAUCGUAAAACUCUGUUAUUAGGGAAGAACAAAUGUGUAAGUAACUAUGCCCGUCUUGACGGUACCUAAUCAGAAAGCCACGGCUAACUACGUG
rnacentral:rRNA from 1 species